rnacentral:rRNA from 1 species
AGUGAACGCUGGCGGUAGGCCUAACACAUGCAAGUCGAACGGCGGCACAUUAAGAGCUUGCUCUUAGGGUUGGCGAGUAGCGGAUGGGUGAGGCAUACAUCGGCAUCUCUUUUUUCGUGGGGGAGACCGGGGGGAAACUUACGCUAAUACCUAAUACAUGUUACGGGUGAAAGCAGUGUGGCUUCGGACUUUGUGCGUUUGAAUGAGCCGAUGUCGGAUUAGCUAGUUGGCGGGGUAAAGGCCCACCAAGGCGACGACCCGUAGCCGGUCUGAGAGGAUGAUCGCCCACCCUGGAGCUGGACCGCGGUCACGGCUCCUGCGAGAGGCAGCAGAGGGGAAUAUUGGGCAGUGGGGGCGAGCCUGGUACAGCCAUCCCGAGUGUGUGAAGGAGGCCUUCGGGUUGUAAAGCCCGUUUGUUGGGAGAGAAACUCAGCCGGUUCAUAACCCGCUGUUCUGACGGUACCUAAAGAAUAAGCGCCGGCUAACUUCGUG